rnacentral:rRNA from 1 species
GACGAACGCUGGCGGCGUGCUUAACACAUGCAAGUCGAACGGAAAGGCCCUGCUUUUGUGGGGUGCUCGAGUGGCGAACGGGUGAGUAACACGUGAGUAACCUGCCCUUGACUUUGGGAUAACUUCAGGAAACUGGGGCUAAUACCGGAUAGGAGCUCCUGCUGCAUGGUGGGGGUUGGAAAGUUUCGGCGGUUGGGGAUGGACUCGCGGCUUAUCAGCUUGUUGGUGGGGUAGUGGCUUACCAAGGCUUUGACGGGUAGCCGGCCUGAGAGGGUGACCGGCGAGAGUGGGGCUGAGAUACGGCCCAGACUCCUACGGGAGGCAGCAGUGGGGAAUAUUGCACAAUGGGCGGAAGCCUGAUGCAGCAACGCCGCGUGCGGGAUGACGGCCUUCGGGUUGUAAACCGCUUUCGCCUGUGACGAAGCGUGAGUGACGGUAAUGGGUAAAGAAGCACCGGCUAACUACGUG